rnacentral:misc_RNA from 1 species
GAUGAAGAACGGUAGUGAAAUGCGAUAAUUAAUGUGAAUUGCAGAAUUCAGUGAAUCAUCGAGUCUUUGAACGCACAUUGCGCCCCCUGGUAUUCCGGGGGGCAUGCCUGUCCGAGCGUCAUUGCUGCCCUCAAGCACGGCUUGUGUGUUGGGCUUCCGUCCCUGGCAACGGGGACGGGCCCAAAAGGCAGUGGCGGCACCAUGUCUGGUCCUCGAGCGUAUGGGGCUUUGUCACCCGCUCCCGUAGGUCCAGCUGGCAGCUAGCCUCGCAACCAAUCUUUUUAACCAGGUUGACCUCGGAUCAGGUAGGGAUACCCGCUGAACUUAAGCAUAUCAAUAAGCGGAGGA